rnacentral:rRNA from 1 species
AUACGGAGGGUCCGAGCGUUAUCCGGAUUUAUUGGGUUUAAAGGGUGCGCAGGCGGCCAUUUAAGUCAGAGGUUAAAUCGUGGGGCUCAACCCCGUACUGCCGUUUGUUCUGGGUGGCUUGAUUGCGGUAGUGGUUGGCGGAAUUCGUUGUGUAGCGGGGAAAUGCAUAGAUAUGAUGAAGAACACCGAUUGCGUAGGCAGCUGUGCAGACCGCAAAUGACGCUCAUGCACGAAAGUGCGGGGAUAGAACAGGAUUAGAUACCCUGGUAGUCCGCCCAGUAAAAGAUGAAUACUUGGUUUCGGCGAUAUAAUGUCGGAGGCAAAGCGAAAGCGAUAAGUAUUCCGCCUGGGGAGUACGCCGGCAACGGUGAAACUCAAAUGAAUUGACGGGG